GUUUAACGGUCAAAUGUACUCGUUUUAUUGACUGUUAAUCGCCUUUUAAAACUAAAGUUAUUUAUGGAGAAAGUAUAUUCAAAUAGUUGUGUAGUUAAUACUAGUGUAUACACAAUGAAGAGUUAAAAAUCAAUUUAAACAAAAAGAAAAACAAUGCAAGUGUCUACGACCGGUAAGGCGUCAUAAAAAGAGUCGAUUCUGUGACUCUAGGCUUUCUAGAGUUCAAUCCAACGCGGCGAGUCGAUUCUUAAGUGAUUCGUUUCACAGAUGCUGUAAAUCGAGAAACUGGAAGUCUGGAAGGGUGUCAUGUUGGAGAAAGUAGAGAACAAAGCAAAAUGUAAAGGAGGAGGGGGGAAUGCGUUGGAAAUAUGCCAAAAAUAACGGCGCAUGUAUUCAAGGAUUCAAAAGCUAAAGACUCAAACAAGCUGACUGGAGAAUCAGGUAAAGCUUUAACUUCCACGUUAACUGAUUUUAGAUCUAUCCUCCUCCAUAUUACAUUGCUAAACUUUAAUGAUCAUUAAUGUUCAGUUUGACAAUUCAAAAAUCUGACAUUAGAUAGCUGUAACUUUAGUUCAGGUUAAAAAAAAUAGUGUGUGAGUCGAUUCCUGACACAACUGAGUCAACACCUGAAGCUGAAAGUAUAACGGACAAAAACGGGGACUUUCUGAUUUAAAAAUUUCAAAGGUUCAAAUAAGUGCGCGUGACAUGCUAGCGAUUUUAACAGAAAGCUCUAGAAUUGGCCUUGGUUGAUUGCAUAAAAUGCCCCAAACCUUAUCCAAGUGUAGGUGUCGAUCACAUGUUUUCACCUCAACACCAAAAGCUGGUGAAAGACUUCAGGACAAAGCGAGAAUAUGGUGCAACCGAAAUCGGUUUAAGCAGAAAAGGAAGACUGAUAAAGCGGAUUUUGUUCCAGUUCAGACAAAGACCGCUCAUGUUCCUCAAGAAGAGGACUGGGAGCAGGAGAUCGAAGAGAUCUCGCGCAGGACGGAGAAGGGGAAAGAAAUGAGCAAUAAGACACCCUAUGAUGCUGAGGAAGAGCUGGAAGUAGCGCUGUGCGAGAUGAGCCUGUACUCCGUUCCCCACGCUCCGAGACCACACCAGCAGCACUACGACCCCUCCACACAUCACACCCCUCCCGUCAAAUGGAUCCACCGCAUCUCCUGCAUCGAGACUGGCCAGUUCGCCGACGCCAAGGAGUAAACGGAUCCUUCCCAUGAUUCCAGCGGUAAAAGAGACCAGAGGGAGGGGCUGAGCCUGGGUGGGAGGAGAAAUGGCUUGUCCUUAUAGUUUAGCCAAAUUAAUUAUUGUUAGGUUAAUAAAUUAAUAACUGUUAGGUUCUAACUAUUUUAGAAAUGCAUUAAAAUUAUUCAUUUGAGUUCUAGUGUGUUUUUCUUUAUUUAAAGUAAUCAUUGGAUGUUCAUUUCUGAAUUUACUGAUUUAGAAAUACUCUGUAUUGGUCAAAAAUAUCUUUUACAUGUAGAAUUCAGUGCACUUGGCUCAGAGAUAUUUAAGUUAAGCUGUUUGGUUUUAGGGGGAACUACUUGAAGCACAGAAAAUAAAUGAUUUAAAGUGAAUUUUUUCACUUAAGGAAAGUUGUUUUGAGAUGCUUUAUCAAGUCAUUGAGAUGCUUGAUCAAGUUUUUAUCAUAUCUGUACACACACACAGAGCUGGAUGAAAUGUCUGGCGUGUAAGUCAGUGAACAAAACCUCAUACAUUAAACAUGUAGAUCCAUUAUACACACCUACUAGUUAUUACAGUAAAUACUGUACUGUUUGUUGAUAUCCAUAACUAACCAUGUAAACUAGAAUUCCUAGCCUAAUUUGAAUAAAAUGACUCCUGUAGUGGAUAAGUAGAGGAUGUGCUGUUUCUUCUGAAUCUCACCUCUGCCACUUUCUAACAAUCUGAACUGUGUUUUAUUGUAAGAGCUUUAGAAGUAGUAUGAGUUAAACUACCAGCUAUUUAAAGAGUCCAUCAACAAGUUAAGUUCUGGAUAAUAAUUUUUAAAAAGUUCUGGUCUGAACUCCAGGUGUCGCUAAGACAUCAAUCCCAAAAUAGCCCUAAUAUUAAUGUUAAAGAGCCUCUGAGCAGCAAAGCAACGAAAAUAAAGAAUUGAGCUUAAUGAAGGGAUGUGUAAGUGAAAUCUGUAAUAUAGCCCUGUUCAAGAGUACGGUAGGAAGUGAUUGAAAUUUGCAUAUCAAACCAAAAGGCAAGUGUAAAUGUUUAUGAUUAUUACUGCAACUGAUUAGCUUUUGCCUCUGUUUUUGCAAAUAAAGAAAUGUUUACACCCCCAUGUAUUAAAUACUGUUUGUAUAAAGGUGC
ensembl:lncRNA